ensembl:lncRNA
AUGAAAUCCUUCUGCCCGCGCACCGGGAUCUUGUGGCUGCGCGUGCGGGCUUCGAACAGCUCAGAUGGGCUGUCAUUGAAUCAGAAGCACAAUAAGUUGCAAGAACUAACUCUGUCUUCUCCAAUUGGUGUCAGCACUGGCUACACGUCUUUCGCACUAUAUAUGGAGGCUAAAGAUCACUCACGCAACCACCCUGGCCCCUCCCAUGGCCAAGCUGUAAAGACAGCAGCAAGAGGUGGCUGGCCAGAUCUGAUCUACCGCAGCCAGUCAGGUGUAGCAACGGCAUUCUGACACACACGCAAACACACACAGUUUGAAUGUUUGAUGAACUCCUUUACACAGCUGACACAUCAAGCCAUCCACCGUUUGUCAACUGACUAAUGACCUUAAAGCCAGCAGUUAAAAGUAAACGUAGGCCUAUGUUAUGCUUCAUUUUGUAUCCUCUGACCUGUUUUGAACAGUACACACACAUUCUAUAAUUCUGCACAAAAAAAGAAUGUGAAAUCCUGACAAGCUCUGGCCGGUAAGGUAAUAAAGCAUUCCCAUCGUCACACACAAAUCAACCUAGUCCCAUUAACACCCCACACUGCAAAUGAGUAAUAGCAGAGAUGAGGAGAGAGAGAGAGAGUGAGGGUGGGAGAUAGAGAGGGCGAGGGCGAGGAAGACAGGGGUGAAAGUAAGGCGGUACAGUCCAGUACUGCUUCCCAGCAAAAUACAUGACCCUAUCACAAUAAUUAAAACAAAAUGUAAAGAAAACUGUAAGCUAUUCCACCAUGAUUUAUCAUUAGGCUACCACAUGUCAGAGGCAUGAAAAAUGAGCGAAUGGACUUCAAAACGGGUGGUAUGGCCUAUGCUCAAAAAAGUGAUGUGGUUCAACAAGAAUAUUGACAUUUUGCCAAGGCAGAGAUGAAUGGCCGACACUGAAACACGCAAGGACAGCAGUGGAUGCAUAAAUUCUGGCCUAAUGACAAUCACCAAAAUGUCAUUACACUUUGUGGUGUUUUGUGGAACAGAUGUCUCUUUCUAUUCACAACUGUUUGGAGGCUGGAAAUAUUUUGCGAGAGAAUGAACGUGCGCGGGUAGCCUAAAGGAGCCCUUUGAUGCCAUUUCGGUAAGAAAUUACAUCUACCCCUAGACAGAGAGAGGAGAACGGAGAGAGAGGAAAACGGAGAGGUAGAAAGUGAGAGACAGAUGGGGGGGGUGGAGAGGGAGACCCAGACAUUCACACUGGGAGCUGUAAUGUGGUGUGGGAAAUGACCAGGGAGGUCUCUGUUUCACUCCAUCCCACGUCUCCUCCGAUCAAAUCAUUUAGUGGAUGCACCCGAUGCAAACCGCCAUGCUCUUUGCUGGGGGUGAGAGGCAGCACCAAUGAAUGGAGGGACAGGGUCGUGGAGGGGUGCUGAGAGAAAGCUCUGGCUGAGCCAAGCAGUGAGGGGGUCCUACGCUUCGACCAGGCCUGGGGGGCUUUUAUGGCUUUUGUCGCCACGGCAGCUCACCUAUUGAGKGGAGCCCCUAAGAUAUGUAAAACAGCAACGUUUCAAAGCCUCAUCUCCACUGUGAAAAACAAAGAAAUAAAGAAAUCAAAUUAAAGUCUGGAAAGGAGUGAGUAAGAGUAGAAUAAGAGAAAAAGAAAGUAUCCUCUGUAGUAAAAAGCAAAGGGGGGCAGUAGCCAAGCCGUUUGCUGGAAUCCGAUGAGUGUUGAGAAAUAAAUAAAUAAAGGAAUCAAUAAAAAAGGGAGUGAGGUGGAAAGAGCUUACUAUGCUCUUGUUUGCCCAGAGUGUUAUUUUCUUUUCUCGUUGAGUCAGGCCAAGUCCUGCAAGCGGCUUGGUGCUUCUCCCACCCAGCAUUGAGAGGCAGGUCUGGGCUUGCCCGGCCAAGGUCUGCCACGGCUGCCAGGAACGCAUACGGCUCAACCUGCCCCCAGCUGCCAUGGUCCUUGUUUAUGUUUGUUUUUUGUUCCUCUCAGUAAAUGUCCCUCCCCUCCACCCCCCAAGGGAGGGACAGUCUGAGGAGCUCUCUCUAGAGUACGGCAUGAUCAGGUGUCAGUUGACCUGGUCACUUCCUCCAGAGGUAUGUGGCCAAGGUGUGCAUCGCUGCUGUUGUAUUGUCUGUCUCCACAAUGGCUUCUCCGUCUCCCUGUGUCACCUGCUCAGGGCCGACAGGGUGUUUUAGUUUAUCACUGCCGCAAGGCUUGCUGGGAAAUCCAUAGAAUGCCCACACUCCAGCUUCCACUGCUACAACCAAUUAAUCAAUUCCUCCAACAUUACACUGUAUAUUCUUUGCCACAUCGUGUCAGAUGCAUUUCUUCCUUGCUAAGGGGUAACAACGAUGAUGUGAGAUGUUGAACACAGAGGUGUAAACUGAGACUGAUUCUGCUUUAAGCGGCUUCAGAGGGACUAGAUCUCUGGGACUAUUGUUCUCUCUCUGGAGUGACUCACCUUGCUGGCUGUUACCUGGACAGCGUAACAUACAUGCUAAUUAGGAAACACAGGAACCAUGACACAUAACACUUAUGUCCAAGUAGGGAACACUUCUUGACAGGUGCACAUUUAUAAAAUGAUUAGUACAGCUAACCCUAAUGCAGAACUUUAAUUGCAAUUUCAUUUGUUUAUUAACAUUAUUCAUUUAUACACUUUAUAGUAGCCAUACAGUAUCUAGGAAAACCAAAGUUCUAAAGGCUGGGCCUAAUAUAGUGUAUAAGAGGUCAUACAAUAAGUUUUAUAGUUAUUCCAAUGUUGAAAAUGUGGUUUGUAAUGAGGAGCAACUAGGUGCUGCACUUGACACAUUUAUUAAAUUGCUUAUUCCAGAUACUAAUAAGCAUGCACCCGUUUACUAAUAAGCAUGACUGUAAAAACUGUUAAAUCCCUGUGGGUUGAUGAGGAAUUGAAACAUUUGAUGGUUGAGAGGGUUGAGGCAAAAGGAAUGGCAAAUAAGUCUGGCUGCACAGCCGAUUGGCAAACGUACUGUAAAUUGAGAAAUUGUGUGACCUAAACUGAACCAAAGAAGAAGAAACUGUACUAUGAAACAAAGAUAAAUUAUAUAAAGAAUGAUAGUAAAAAGCUAUGGAGCACCUAAAUGACAUUUUGGGCAAAAAGGCAAACUCUGCUCCAUCAUUCCUUAAAUCAAAUGGCUCAUUCAUCACAAAACCCACUGAUAUUGCAAACUACCAUAUUGAUUUGUCAUUGGAAAGAUUAGCAAACUUAGGCAUGACAUGGCAACAACAAAUUCUGAACCUACACAUCCAUGCAUUACUGACCAAAUUAUGAAAGACAGAUGUAAUUUUGAAUUCCGUAAAGUAAGUGUGAAAGAGGUGAAAAAAAUAUUGUUGUCUAUCAACAAUGACAAACCACCUGGGUCUGACAACUUGGAAGGAAAAUGAUUGAGGAUGAUAGCGGACGAUAUUGCCACACCUAUUUGCCAUCUCUUCAAUCUAAGCCUACAGGAAAGUGUGUGCCCUUAGGCCUGGAGGGAAGCAAAAAUCAUCAGCCAACCAAUCAGCCUGUUACCAACCCUUAGUAAACUUUUGGGGAAAAUGCUGUUUGACCAGAUACAAUGCUAUUUCACAGUAAACAAAUUAACAACAGAUUUUCAGCACACUUAUUGAGAAGGGCAUUCAACAUGUAUGGAACUUACACAAAUGACUUAGCUAAUAUACCAUGUUUUGUGCUGCUACCAUGUUGUGUUGCUAACAUGUUGUUGUCAUGUUAUGUUGCUACUAUGCUGUGUUGUCAUGUGUUGCUGUUGUCUUAGGUCUCUCUAGUAAAGAAUACAUUGUGGGAGCUGUUUUGUUAGGCUUCAGUGCAGCUUUAGACAUCAUCAAUCAUAAUAUUCUGCUGAAAAAUGUAUGUGUGUCACUACUUCUGCCGAAGUCGUUGCCUCUCCUUGUUCGGGCGGUGCUCGGCGGUCGACGUCACCGGUCUUCUAGCCAUCAUUGAUCCAUUUUUCAUUUUCCAUUGGUUUUGUCUUGUCUUCCCACACACCUGUUUUCAAUCCCAUUCAUUACCUGUUGAGUAUUUAACCCUCUGUUUCCCCUCAUGUCUUUGUCAGAGAUUGUUUAUUGUCCGUGUUGUGUUUAUUGUAUAGGUGCGCAACGGGUCCUCGUACCCAUGUUUGUUUAUAUUCUAUUCUUAAUAGUGUUAUGGAGCAUGUUACGUGGACAUUCAUUAAAAGACUCCAUUUUACACUCCGUUUGACUCUCCUGCGCCUGACUUCCCUGCCACCUAUACACACGAUUUUGACAAUGUUAUGGCUUUACAUCCCCUACCAUAUUGUGGAUCGAGAGUUACUUGUCUAACAGAACACAGAGG